ACAUCUCUCUUUGGAUCCUUCUCUGAUCGCACUGAAACAUUUCAACGUGUUAGUUCACCCGUUUGUGUACGAUUUCAAAGAUUUCCUUUCUCAAUUUGAGUUUCUCCACUCCAGGUAACAGCUCGUGCAGGUCCUGUCGAGUCAGCGACUGGAUGUCCGAGUCCGUGUGAAAACCCGCUCCUGGGAGAGGACAGAUCACAGUUGGUUUGUACGAUUAACACCAGACCCUCCAGCAGAUGCUCCAUCGUCUGUUCGGUACUUCUCCGGAUUGACUCCAGUUGCUGGAACACAAAGAGAAUACCUCGCAACUUUUUCCUGAGCCGUUGCCACAAAAAGAAGAAAUACCAACAGCUACAGACAUAAAUCCACCAAAUAUCUGCGUAUAGUGGACAGAGCGGAUGUCCACCUUUCCUCACACCUAAACAUGUGAGUAUGAAAAAACAAUGAGGAAAUCCUUGUGAGUUUAGUGCCAUCAUAUGAACGGCCACGGGGUAAGGGAAGACGAGAAGCUGCUGUAAAACACAGAACCAAAUGAUGCAACUCUGAUCUCUCCUUUAACAUGGUCAAUUAUUGCAAAAUGUGAUUUUCUCUCAUCUUGGCAGAAGCACAUACACACACACACACACGCACACACACCCAUCACACACACAUACACUUGCUCAGUCACAGACAUUGCCCUCAGUUAUUAUGCAUUCAUAAAUCAAAAGGUUGUGACGGGAAUUAAUCUAAAACGAUGGCGAGUGUAAGUCAGAGGAUGCAAAUAUGACAGCUUUAUUAGAAAACUAGAUUGCUUAAAUUUGUCUGAAUUAAUGUGACACUUUUUUUGAUUAAAUAUACCCCCCCCCCCCCCCCCUUCACUUACUGAAUGGGGCUGAAGGGGGUUGGGGUUACGCACCAGCUGAAAAAAAGAUGUGGUUUAU